UACGGAGGGUGCAAGCGUUGUCCGGAUUUAUUGGGUUUAAAGGGUGCGUAGGCGGCACGUUAAGUCAGUGGUGAAAGCCUCCCGCUCAACGGGAGAAAUGCCAUUGAUACUGGCGUGCUUGAGUACGGACGAGGUAGGCGGAAUUUAUGGUGUAGCGGUGAAAUGCAUAGAUACCAUAAAGAACACCAAUAGCGUAGGCAGCUUACUAGACCGUAACUGACGCUGAGGCACGAAAGCGUGGGGAGCGAACAGG
rnacentral:rRNA from 1 species